UUUAUAUGACGUCGUUGACUUGUAGGUUCACGUUUGACCAUUCGUCUUAUUCAAAAAAAAUUAUAUAAUUAUUAAUUAUUUUGUUAAAAUAUGAUUUAUUAUUAUAGAAACUUUAAUUAUACAUUAUAAUUUUGUAUAUUUGGAUAUAAAUUUUGAAUAAGACGAAUGGUCAAACGUGAACCUACAAGUCAACGACGUCAUAUAAA
rnacentral:pre_miRNA from 1 species